AACGAACGCUGGCGGCAUGCCUAACACAUGCAAGUCGAACGAGACCUUCGUGUUUGGUGGCUGACGGGUGCGUAACGCGUGGGAUCCUGCGUUUAGGUUCGGCAUAACUCCCCGGAAUGGGUGCUGAUACCGGGUAAUGUUUUCGGACCAAAGAUUUAUGUCGUUUGGAUGGUCCCGCGUUGGAUUAGGUUGGUGGUAGGGUACAAGCCUACCAAGGCGAAGAUUGAUAGAUGGUCUGAGAGGGUGAUCAGCCACAGUGGGACUGAGACGCGGCCCAGACGCCUACGGGAGGGAGCAGUGGGGAAUAUUGGGCAAUGGGCGAAAGAGUGAUCCAGCAAUGCCGAGUGAGUGAUGAAGGCCUUAGGGUCGUAAAGCUCUUUUACCCGGGAUGAUAAUGACAGUACCGGGAGAAUAAGCUCCGGCUAACUCCGUG
rnacentral:rRNA from 1 species